AUGAACGCUGGCGGCGUGCCUCAUCCAUGCCAGUCGCGCGAACAGACGAGGAGCUUGCUCCUCUGACGUUAGCGGCGGACGGGUGAGUAACACGUGGAUAACCUACCUAUAAGACUGGGAUAACUUCGGGAAACCGGAGCUAAUACCGGAUAAUAUAUUGAACCGCCUGGUUCAAUAGUGAAAGACGGUUUUGCUGUCACUUAUAGAUGGAUCCGCGCCGCAUUAGCUAGUUGGUAAGGUAACGGCUUACCAAGGCAACGAUGCGUAGCCGACCUGAGAGGGUGAUCGGCCACACUGGAACUGAGACACGGUCCAGACUCCUACGGGAGGCAGCAGUAGGGAAUCUUCCGCAAUGGGCGAAAGCCUGACGGAGCAACGCCGCGUGAGUGAUGAAGGUCUUCGGAUCGUAAAACUCUGUUAUUAGGGAAGAACAAAUGUGUAAGUAACUAUGCACGUCUUGACGGUACCUAAUCAGAAAGCCACGGCUAACUACGUG
rnacentral:rRNA from 1 species